AAACUCCGCUGACUGCCCUUUGCUCGAAGUAAUUUUUGGCGAUUUUUUUAGUGAUUUUUCUGUGGAGUUCUAGUGGCGAUAUACUCUCGGACAGGUUAUCCCGCCUCACCCGCUAGAUUGAUGAGAUCAGGCAUC
rfam:Pteropus vampyrus cont1.194831, whole genome shotgun sequence.